GACGAACGCUGGCGGCGUGCUUAACACAUGCAAGUCGAACGGAAAGGCCCUGCUUUUGUGGGGUGCUCGAGUGGCGAACGGGUGAGUAACACGUGAGUAACCUGCCCUUGACUUUGGGAUAACUUCAGGAAACUGGGGCUAAUACCGGAUAGGAGCUCCUGCUGCAUGGUGGGGGUUGGAAAGUUUCGGCGGUUGGGGAUGGACUCGCGGCUUAUCAGCUUGUUGGUGGGGUAGUGGCUUACCAAGGCUUUGACGGGUAGCCGGCCUGAGAGGGUGACCGGCCACAUUGGGACUGAGAUACGGCCCAGACUCCUACGGGAGGCAGCAGCGGGUAAUAUUGCACAAUGGGCGGAAGCCUGAUGCAGCAACGCCGCGUGCGGGAUGACGGCCUUCGGGUUGUAAACCGCUUUCGCCUGUGACGAAGCGUGAGUGACGGUAAUGGGUAAAGAAGCACCGGCUAACUACGUG
rnacentral:rRNA from 1 species